rnacentral:rRNA from 1 species
UACCAGCACCCCGAGUGGUCGGGACGAUUAUUGGGCCUAAAGCAUCCGUAGCCGGUCUUGCAAGUCUUCCGUUAAAUCCAGCUGCUUAACAGAUGGGCUGCGGAAGAUACUACAAGACUAGGAGGUGGGAGAGGCAAGCGGUACUCAGUGGGUAGCGGUAAAAUCCUCUGAUCCAUUGAAGACCACCAGUGGCGAAGGCGGCUUGCCAGAACGCGCUCGACGGUGAGGGAUGAAAGCUGGGGGAGCAAACCGG